rnacentral:rRNA from 2 species
AACGGCGAGUGAAGCGGCAACAGCUCAAAUUUGAAAUCUUGGCUCCUUCGGGGCCCGAGUUGUAAUUUGCAGAGGAUGCGUCGGGUACGGGUGCCUUCCGAGUUCCCUGGAACGGGACGCCAUAGAGGGUGAGAGCCCCGUCUGGUAGGACACCCAGCCCAUGUGAUGCUCCCUCGACGAGUCGAGUAGUUUGGGAAUGCUGCUCUAACGGGAGGUAUACUCCUUCCAAGGCUAAAUACCGGCUGGAGACCGAUAGCGCACAAGUAGAGUGAUCGAAAGAUGAAAAGCACUUUGAAAAGAGAGUCAAAUAGCACGUGAAAUUGUUAAAAGGGAAGCGCUCGCUACCAGACUUGGGUUCGGCGGUUCAACCGGGGCCACGCCCCGGGGCAUUCCGCCGUCCCAGGCCAGCAUCAGCUUUCCGUCGGGGGCAAAGGCGUCGGGAAUGUGGCUCUCCUUCGGGGGAGUGUUAUAGCCCGGCGUGUCAUACCCUUCGGGGGGCUGAGGUACGCGCUUCUGCAAGGAU